AUGGAUAGUCACCAUUUAGAUGAGCCAAGGGUAACUGAUUCUGGUGCCCAAAUAAUGGAUCGCCAAAUUGAGCUGGAAGACAUACUACUUCAUGAAGAUUUAGAGCCCAUGGCCCUAUCAUACCAACUUUUGAACAAAAUCACUGAUGAUUUUUCUGAUAAGUUGGAAAUUGGAAGAGGCGGCUUUGCAGUGGUCUAUAAGGCUAUACUUGAUAACGGUGUUGUCGCUGUAAAGAGAUUGUCCAAUAUGUACAUGCACGAGGAUAAAUUUAAAAGAGAGGUUGAGUGUCUAAUGAAUGCAAAACACAAGAACAUUGUACGAUUUCUGGGAUAUUGUUCUGACACACAAGGAAAUAUGGGAAGCUACAAUGGGAAAUGGAUUAUGGCAGAGGUACAAGAAAGAUUGCUCUGCUUUGAAUAUCUGAGCAAAGGAAGUCUUGAAGGUUAUAUAAAAGAUUCAUUAGGAGAAAUUGAAUGGAGAAAGCGCUACCAUAUAAUAAAGGGGAUCUGUGAGGGGUUAAAUUAUCUUCACCAAAAAAAUAUUAUGCACUUAGACUUGAAACCCGAAAAUAUAUUGUUGGAUGAAGAUAUGACCGCAAAAAUUACUGAUUUUGGACUAUCGAGGUGUUUUGACAAAGACCAGACAAGGGUCAUGACGAAUAGUGUGGCGGGAACUAUGGGAUAUUUGGCACCUGAAUGCUAUAGGAGUGAAAAAAUAACAAUCACACACAAGCUUGACUUGUAUAGUCUUGGUAUUAUAAUUAUGGAGAUGUUGACUGGCAAAAAGGGGUAUCAAAUUACUGUUGAGAAUGUACUUGAAAUUUGGAGUAAAUCGAUGGUGGAUGAACUGCAGUUGGAACAAAUACGAGUAUGUGCUACAAUUGGGAUAGAGUGCAUCGAUUUGGAUCCAGCAAAGAGACCAGCUAGUAUGAGUCAUAUAAUUGAUAGGCUUACCGAAAUAGAAUGUAGUACACAUGCAAUCUCUAUAGGUGGGACAAGUGAGCUUCUUCUCCUUCAACAGGUCACGCUUUGCUUCCCCUUUCAGCCCAAUAAGGUUAUCAUGUGCCCACUGGAGCUAACAAAUAACAUCGAUAAGCGCAUUGCAUUUAGGCUUACAGACAAGAGCACGGAGUCCUUCAUAAAUCUUCCAUUACAUGGACUCGUUCCACCUAACACCACUUACACUCUCGUCUUGACAACAAAAGAGAAGAAAGAUCGACCACGAAAAUAUAUUGCAGAUCUUAUCCUCCAGAGUGUUAUAUCAUCAUUGUGUGAUGAUUCGUAUAUUGGAAAUGGCGAAAGUUUGCCCAAUAGUAUUUUUCAUGAGACGGGGAAUGCAGCGCAGAUGGUGAAACUAAAGGCACUUUAUACACAACGACAACACAACACAACAUCGUUGUCUAAUGCAAUUAUGCCCACAAUCAAGAUAAUCUUCUCCACGGAAAAAAAUAGAGAAUUACUCAGGCAUUCGUUGGAUAUAAACCAUGCCAAGAAAUGGAUAACAAUGGGUUACCAAGAUGGAAUUGUUGUCUUUUGGGACUAUGAGACACAGAGUAAAGUGGAUUGGCUUAAAGUCUCAGCAGAUGAUGAAAUUGUGUGCAUCAAAUUUAUUGCAAGAAAGCAAUGGAUUGUUGCAGGCACACUAAAUGGUAACAUCCAUGUGUACAACUAUGAAGAAAUGAAAAGGAUCACAAGUUUCACCGCUGGUACAUAUGAAUCACUCCAGUCACUAGCCGUACAUCCAACCCGGCCAUAUUUAUUGUCAGCGGGCAUUUACAUUAAGCUUUGGAACUGGGAUCACGGUUGGGAGUGCAUACGGACAUUUGAGUAUGAAGACUACAAAAAAAUUGUUGGAUUUAGUCCAAAUGACACCUUUGCUAGUACUUCAAUGGUUCACCCAAUUGUGGAGUGCACCAAGUUUGAGUCAUAUGUUAUAGAGGGAGAUUAUACUGUGAAGGUAUGGAGUCUCGAUUCACCCAAAUAUGAAUAUGCCCUGGAUGGGCAUUCUAACAGAGUCGUCUGCUUGGAUUUCCUCACAUAUCACGGUCAUGACUUUUUGGUUACAGGUUCAGAUGAUAAGACUGCCAAGAUAUGGUAUUUAGAGACAAAGGAAUGUGCAUACACACUUGAAGCUUUUGUGUCUCCGGUUACAUCUGUCCUAUACCAACCCGAUCUUCAGACUCUAUUUACAGGUUCAAAUGAUGGUGCUAUUUAUUUGUGGAGCACCGCAAAUUGCAGAUAA
rnacentral:rRNA from 1 species